UUGAUUUGCUUCACAUGUGAUGAAACAACCGAUGAAAGUUCCUGUACUCCAAGUCCAUGUGCAGCUGCAACAUUCUGCCAGAGUGACUACAAACUCAACGGGGCAGGAGUGCCUGUUGUCACUAAGUCCUGUGCAGCUGAUUGCAAAGCUGUUGACAAUACAGCAGACAAAAACGUGAGGACAACUUGCUGCAAAACGGGAUAUUGUAAUGGAAACGCCUUGAGUUGCAACACUUGUUCUAAUGAAGCUGACGAACCUAAAUGUGCAGCAACAGCCUGCGCUGCAACUGACAAACUAUGUCAGAGCACUUAUACUCUCACUGCACCAGAUGUUCCAGUAUCAAAGACAUGUGCUGGGGUUUGCACACCAUCCGCUACUGUGAAGUGCUGCGGUACAUCUCAGUGUAACGUGGACCUGUUGAAAUGCUACACCUGCACCGACUUGACAGAUGAAUCUAAGUGUAAAGAUAUAACAGUCUGUGGGUACGGUGAAAAGUUCUGUAAAACCACUUACAAACUAACUGGAACUGGUGUCACCGUCAGCAAGGGAUGUGCAUCAACUUGUACUGUAACAACAGCUUUCCCGCGAGAUGAGUGCUGUCAGGGAGAACUGUGUAACGGUAA